UGAUGAUUGGGUGACACUACACAGAGAAGUAUUAGAGAAUGCCUGGAGAGUUGCAAACGGUAAUUUUGAGAGUAAGUGUCAUUUAGUAGGAAGCUUCUGUAUGAUAAGAAAGCGAGAGGAAAAGCAUUGGACGUUGGUCAACGUGUAUUAGUGCGAAACCUUCAUGGAAAGGGAAGGAAUAAAAUCCAGGACAACUGGUAUGAGGAUAUAUAUGUGGUAUCCCAUGUGUUGAAUGAGGAGGGAAGUGUGUAUAGGAUUGUUCCUGAGGAAGGAGAUGGGGCCUCAAAGGUAAUACACCGUAUGCAUUUGCGGGCAGCCCCAAGGGUAGCUGAUGGCUCAGAUGGGACAGACACCUAUGAUGGUGAUGAUGAGGACGAUGCGGGUUGCCCGGUGGGGGACCCACGUCCUGACAGUGGUGAAAGCUCUAGGCACGAGGUAGACACACAAGGUUCUAAUGAGGACCUGGACCCCGUAACAGAUAGUAGUAGUAGCAGCAGUGAGGAAGAGUCUCAGGUGGGACUUGCAGUCCGUAGAAGUAAGAGAGCUACUGCGGGAAAACACUCAAAUAUGUUUAAGUUACCUCAGUCGACAAUACAAAGUGUUUUAGUGCUAUAGAUUUAAGUUUUACAUUGUUAGUUCCUAUCUGACAGUACAAUUUGUAAAGUUCCUCCUACCAACUGCUCAAUGCCUCAGAAUGUUAGGUCAUUUAUUUUCUUAUAUACUGUACCCAGUAUCAUGGGGACCAUGAUAAGAUUAAGUGGGGGCAGAUGUGGUAUGAGGAACUCCAGAGACAACUAUUUGGUGAUUUAGAAUAUUAUUGAUAUGGAUAUGUUUUUUUGUGAGCUCCGAGGGGAAAAACGUAAAGAUAUUUUGUGAAUCCGCGCUAGAACGAAUAUGCAUCCCAGCGUUGGGGGGGGGGGGAGACGCAAUGGCGUUGUUUACAUCCCAAAGACGCGUCGGAUGGGCCCAGUGACAGAUAUUCACCCUGGAGUGAGUCGACAACAACAGCCACUCCCCUGUGUUAUGCUGGUGGGUUGCGUUUAUUAUUUAUUGUUUAAUUCCUACGACUGUGUGUUACAAAUAUGUGAAUAUGACAACAGUUGACACUUGUUUUGUAAGUAUAACGUAAUAAUGUGAAAUAACUAGUUAUGCCUGAUCUAGGUCCCAGCCUUUUCCUUCUCGGGUGAUUUCUAGAGUUAAUAAAUGAGAGAAAACUA